UACGUAGGUGGCAAGCGUUAUCCGGAAUUAUUGGGCGUAAAGCGCGCGUAGGCGGUUUUUUAAGUCUGAUGUGAAAGCCCCCGGCUCAACCGGGGAAGGUCAUUGGAAACUGGGGAACUUGAGUGCAGAAGAGGAGAGUGGAAUUCUCAGUGUAGCGGUGAAAUGCGUAGAUAUUGAGAAGAACACCAGUAGCGAAGGCGGCUUUCUGGACUGUAACUGACACUGAGGCACGAAAGCGUGGGUAGCAAACAGG
rnacentral:rRNA from 1 species